AUGGGACGUCGGACUCCAGUCUUCAUCGCCAUAGUGACGAUUCUUCUGACUCUAGGUAAGUUUGUUCUACCUCCUGUACGUUAUAUACCCCCAGGGAAGAACCCAGUAGGGGAUGCGGGGAUUGUUUGCUACCCAACACGACUAACACAGCCCAGUGGCACCCUAAUACAACCAGCUCAAACCAGUGGCACCCUAAUACAACCAGCUCAAACCAGUGGCACCCUAAUACAACCAGCUCAAACCAGUGGACAACCUAAUACAACCAGCUCAAACCGGUGGCAACCUAAUACAACCAGCUCAAACCAGUGGCAACCUAAUAAAACCAGCUCAAACCAGUGGCAACCUAAUACAAUCAGCUCAAACCAGUGGCAACCUAAUACAACCAGCUCAAACCAGUGGCAACCUAAUACAACCAGCUCAAACCGGUGGCAACCUAACACGACGCACACGCCCUGCUCCGGGUUCUUGUGUGACGACGGUGUGACGUGUAUUCCGGAAGGGGGCGUCUGUGACGGUACCGUGGAUUGUUUGAGUGGCAGUGACGAGGCCAACUGUGUCACGUAUGAAGAAGACUGCGGUAGUCCUGCUGUUCCCCCGUACUUCGGGCGGAUUGUGGGCGGGCGGGAGGCCAGGCGCGGCAGCUGGCCGUGGAUGGUGUCUCUCCGCCGGAGAGGGUUCGGCCACUACUGCGCCGGCUCUCUCAUCUCUGACCGCUGGGUGCUGACGGCUGCGCACUGCUUUGACGUAUGGCGCAACCUAACCGCGUGGCAGGUUGUCCUGGGCAACCACCACAGGUCAUCUGAUGACGUCACGCAGCAAAUAUUCGAUCUGGAUGACGUCACGAUUCACCACUACUACCGACAGGUUACCAAUGAUUUUGACAUAGCGCUUGUAAAACUCGCUGGGCAUGCGCUGCUGGGUGACUACGUCAACACGGUGUGUCUCCCCGGCCCGAGUGAUAAACUACUGGAGGACCAGACAUGCGCAGUGACCGGGUGGGGAGAUACCAGAGGAGACGUUACCGCCUGCUCCACCUGCCAUCACCCGGUAGCUCAACGGUGGACUAUCUCAGCAUAUAACGUUUAGCUUGAAAAAAAUACAACGUCCUUGGCCCCAUCAACUAGUCAGGGACGUCGCGUGUCGUGAGUUUUGUCCGGGACUUUGAGAGCGUACAGACGUCGGUGGCUCUGUUCUGAUAAAAUAUGGCGAUCGCUCGGAGUGCAGGCGGCUACCCUGUGCGGGGAAACAGUCCAGCUGACGGCGGCUUCUCUCAGGCACAAGCUGGAGCAAGAGGCUACGAUGCAGCCCUGGCCGUCGGCGCAUGCGCGUCAGUGCUGGUGACGGUGGGCGCGGUAGGUUUCCUGUGUACGUGGCUAUGGAGACGGAAGCAGGGUUACCAUGGCAACCUGGAUGACUUGAACAAUGAGGAAGGAAGCGGAGGUUCUUGGUUCGACUGUUGCUGGCCAACAAGAAGUACCUCUCUGGACAACCUCGUCCCUUUGCCAACGAUGACAACAUCCCCAUCAGACAACCAUGGGAACGAGAUGAUGGCGCGGGCCGCGGUUCCCAUGGAGACGAUCCCGUUCACAGUUCCCAACACCGAGCGGAUCCAGCCUUCCGGGCCUGGUGAACAGGUCAAACCCAUCACGACAGCCUACAACUACCAGCAGCACUUCUUAGGACAACUGCAACCGGAGCUGUACAAGUACACAGACGAAGACGACGAGACGGAGAAGCACCUCCCCCCGAGCCCGUCGGGAAGAAUCUGGUUCUCCGUGGUGUUCGACGCCUCGGUGCAGACUCUGACAGUGUCCAUCCUCAAGGUCAAACACCUGCCGGCACGAGACAAGAACAACGCCAGCAGAGACACGUUUGUCCGAGUGUACCUCCUGCCUGACGAACGGAUGUCUCAACAGUCCAAAGUGCGCAGGAAAACCCUCAAUCCUCGCUUCAACGAAACCUUCGUCUUCCAGGUCUCGGAGACGGAGGUGCGAGAGCGCAUGCUCAGACUGUCGGUGUACGAUAUGGACAGGAGACGGGUACGUCACUCCCUGGGUCACGUGAUCCUGCCGCUGACGGAAGUGGACCUGGCCAAGGACGAGCUGAUGUGGAGAGACCUGGAGGACGCUGCACAUGCGUCCACCGUGGGUGAGCUGAACGUGUCUCUGUCCUAUCUGCCGUCCAUGGACAGGUUAAAAGUCGUCAUUUUGCGCGCCAAAAACUUCAGAAGGUUGGAAUUUGAUGACACAGCCGUGUACGUGAAGGUACAGCUCAUGCACGGCAGGAAGCCCGUCAAGACAAAGAAGACGGCCCCGCAGCAGGGUCACUGUGAGCAGGUGUACAACGAGUCCUUCUCCUUCACCGUCACCGCCAAACAGCUGGAGCAGACCAGCGUGCAGGUCACCAUCGUCGCCACGGGCAACGGCAGACUCAGCUCGGACGAGGAGUACGGCAGAAACACAUCUUCUUCGUAUUUAAAAGAAAUUCACACCCCUCAUACAGAAUGGUUGAGUCUCUACACCAAGAUGGCGACAGUGUGGCGCAAUGCGUUGCGAGCUGGCAACAUUUUCUCUCGUUUCUCCCAACUCAGCGGACCAAGAGCAGCCCAAACCGGCGCCAGGUCUUGCAGUCAGUAUGUAAAAAUAGAUGACGACCUGUACGGGCUCACAGAAGACCAGAAACAGCUGAGAGAGGCUGUGUUUAGGUUCUCCCAAGAAGAGCUGGCACCCUUGGCAGAUGAAAUCGACAAGAACAAUGACUUCCCAGGAAUCCGAGAGUUCUGGAAAAAGCUAGGAGACAUGGGACUGCUGGGCAUGACUGCACCAACUGAAUAUGGAGGAACAGGUCUGGGAUACUUGGACCACUGCCUGGCUAUGGAGGAGAUCUCCCGUGCCAGUGGUGCCAUCGGCCUCAGCUAUGGAGCACAUUCCAACCUGUGUGUCAACCAGCUCGUUAGGAACGGUAAUGAGGAACAGAAGGCCAAAUAUCUGCCUAAGUUGAUCAGUGGGGAACACUUCGGAGCGCUGGCCAUGUCAGAGGCCAACGCAGGGUCAGAUGUCGUCUCCAUGAGAACCAAGGCAGAAAAACAUGGUGACUACUAUGUUCUGAAUGGUACAAAGUUUUGGAUCACCAAUGGUCCAGAUGCAGACACCCUGGUGGUGUAUGCUAAAACUGAGCCACAUGCCUCCAAACCUCAACACGGGGUCACAGCUUUCAUCAUAGAGAAGGGUAUGGACGGGUUCAGCACAUCCCCAAAGUUAGAUAAGUUGGGGAUGAGAGGCUCCAACACCUGUGAGCUGGUAUUUGAGGACUGCAAGGUGCCAGCCUCCCAUGUGUUAGGACAAGUAAACAGAGGCAUCUAUGUGCUCUUCUCUGGGCUGGACAUUGAGAGAUGUGUCCUCUCUGCUGGUCCUCUGGGAGUGAUGCAGUCUGUGUUAGAUGUAACUAUCCAAUACCUACACACCAGGGAAGCCUUCGGACAGAAGAUAGGCACCUUCCAGAUGAUGCAGGGAAAAAUGGCAGACAUGUACACCCAGCUGAGCGUGUGCAGGUCGUAUGUGUACAAUGUUGCCAGGGCCCUGGACAGGGGCUGUAUCAUACCUAAGGACUGUGCUGGAGCCAUCCUCUUUUCUGCAGAGUGUGCCACUAAGGUGGCUCUGGAUGGCAUCCAGUGUCUUGGUGGAAAUGGUUAUGUGAACGACUACCCCACCGGUCGCUUCCUGAGGGACGCCAAACUGUACGAAAUUGGAGCGGGCACAAGCGAGGUGCGCAGGCUCAUCAUUGGUCGGGCCUUCAACGCCGAGUACGGCGUGUCGGACAGAGAGCAGCAGAAACCCAAGAAAGAAGCUGCUCAGUGAGGGGGUAUGAGACAGGAGCAGGGAGGAUUCUUUGUCAAACUGCGGAGACUGUAUGAGCACAUCAGCAGAACAUACUGUGCCUGUGCGCAACCUGUAAUAUCAUGUGUGCAACCAGGAUUAUUUAAAAGUUUUUGUUGGAUGUUUGGUCACUGUUGCAUCAGAAUCUUGCCCGUUUUCCGACACAUCAUUUAAAAACAACAAGUGGAAUUUCAUCUUUAAGUAUGCAAAUACGAGACAUUCUGCCAAAGUGCUUUGCACAAUACCGUUACAUGUAUACUAUGGGUUUUGCACAUGUACAGACACUGUGUCGACAUGCUGACUGUAUGAUAACAUGGUUCUGAACAAUGAAGUGGAAUUUUAUAGACUGAAGCAACAGACUGUGGAGCAUCCAAAACAUGUUUUUCAACAGCUCUCCAAUUAUCUGCAAGUCCAAGGUCUUCCUAUGAUCUCUCAGUGAUCUUUCAAAGAUCUCAAUGAUUAGCCGCUUACUGUUAGCCCAAUGGUCUCCAUCCUGUGAAAAUGAUGCCUACAAUGUAACAAUGUAGAGGUGGUUACAUUGGUUAGGAAACUUACCUGAAAUGUAAUGGUAUAUAUGUGUGUCAUAAUCAUUGCGUACAAUUUUAUUUUGUGGGUUUGUUGGUUAAAAUUAACACAGCUACCACACAAAAGGUGAGUCCUUACAGGUGAGAAAAUUGUAUAGCUGGCAAAGCAAAAUGGUAUCUUCUCAUUCUAGUGUCCGUCCUAGUUUGAAUAAAUAUAUAACGUGGUGCGGUUCUGUGAGGUAUAAUUGUACAGAAAUAUAUUUUCUCUGCAGAGAUAGGAGAUAAACACUUCAAUGUACAUACAGGGAGAAAAGUCACAGUCAAAUUCAAAAUCCUAACAUUUUUAGGUAAAGUUGCUUUUCAUUUUGAGAUAUGGUGAUGUUGCAAUUAAUUCUAAUUCUCUGUCAUUAGAAGUACCUACAAUAUCUUGUAAGUUACAAAGACUUUAUUGACACAGUCCUUAAUAGUUCCUUCAGUAUACAUAGUUAUUGUGUAGAGUAAGUAAAGUAAAUGUCCCUGUGGUUUUCUUUGGUGAAACUUACAUUGAAGUGUUUUCUGUUGACUACAUGUAUAGUACACAUCAGAGAGUGUCCAAAUAUCGUGAUGUCCAUACUUCAAUUUCAUAUGUUAUAGAUUUGAAUAAAAUACACUCAAACCUAA